rnacentral:rRNA from 1 species
AUACGUAGGGUGCGAGCGUUAAUCGGAAUUACUGGGCGUAAAGGGUGCGCAGGCGGUUUUAUAAGCCAGAUGUGAAAUCCCCGGGCUCAACCUGGGAACUGCAUUUGGGACUGUAAGACUAGAGUACGUCAGAGGGGGGUAGAAUUCCACGUGUAGCAGUGAAAUGCGUAGAUAUGUGGAGGAAUACCGAUGGCGAAGGCAGCCCCCUGGGUCGAUACUGACGCUCAGGCACGAAAGCGUGGGGAGCAAACAGAAUUAGAAACCCUAGUAGUCC